CCUAGUACGAGAGGACCGGAGUGGACGCAUCACUGGUGUUCGGGUUGUCAUGCCAAUGGCACUGCCCGGUAGCUAAAUGCGGAAGAGAUAAGUGCUGAAAGCAUCUAAGCACGAAACUUGCCCCGAGAUGAGUUCUCCCUGAGACUUAGAGUCUCCUGAAGGAACGUUGAAGACGACGACGUUGAUAGGCCGGGUGUGUAAGCGCAGCGAUGCGUUGAGCUAACCGGUACUAAUGAACCGUGAGGCUUAACCUUAC
rnacentral:rRNA from 1 species